rnacentral:rRNA from 1 species
AGCGGCGGACGGGUGAGUAACGCGUGGGUAACCUGCCUCAUACAGGGGGAUAACAGUUGGAAAUGGCUGCUAAUACCGCAUAAGCGCACAGUACCGCAUGGUACGGUGUGAAAAACUCCGGUGGUAUGAGAUGGACCCGCGUCUGAUUAGGUAGUUGGUGGGGUAACGGCCUACCAAGCCGACGAUCAGUAGCCGACCUGAGAGGGUGACCGGCCACAUUGGGACUGAGACACGGCCCAA